rnacentral:rRNA from 1 species
UACGAAGGGGACUAGCGUUGUUCGGAAUCACUGGGCGUAAAGCGCACGUAGGCGGAUAUGUCAGUCAGGGGUGAAAUCCCGGGGCUCAACCUCGGAACUGCCUUUGAUACAGCAUAUCUUGAGUCCGAUAGAGGUGGGUGGAAUUCCUAGUGUAGAGGUGAAAUUCGUAGAUAUUAGGAAGAACACCGGUGGCGAAGGCGGCUCACUGGUCCGGCACUGACGCUGAGGUGCGAAAGCGUGGGGAGCGAACAGG